AGAGUUUGAUCCUGGCUCAGAACGAACGCUGGCGGCGUGGCUAAGACAUGCAAGUCAAACGGACUGUGCCUUUAGUACAGUCAGUGGCGAAAGGGUGCGGAACGGACAGGCAACGUACCCUGUGCUUCAGAAUAGCGUCUGAAAACUUCGGUUUUCUUCCGAAAGGGGCGGUAAUACUGAAUAAUGUCAUUCUUCGAAUGUGGGAUGACCAAAGAUUUAUCGGCACAGGAGCGGCCUAUCUCCUAUCAGCUUGUUGGUGAGGUAAUGGCUCACCAAGGCAACGACGGGUACCGGAACUGAGAGGUUGAUCCGGCUCAUCGGGACUGAGACACUGCCCGGACCUCCACGGAGGGCUGCAGUAACGAAUAUUGCGCAAUGAGCGAAAGCUUGACGCAGCGACGCCGCGUGUAGGAUGAAGCCUUUCGGGGUGUAAACUACUGUCAGGACUUAGAAAGUGCGCUUCGGCGUAUUGAUCAGGUCCAGAGGAAGUCACGGCUAACUACGUGCCAGCAGCCGCGGUAAUACGUAGGUGGCGAGCGUUGUUCGGAAUCACUGGGCUUAAAGCGUGUGUAGGUGGAAUAGUAAGCGUUUUGUGAAAUCCCUCGGCUUAACCGAGGAACUGCUUGGCGAACUGCUAUUCUUGAGGUAGGUAGGGGUGUGUGGAACUCUUGGUGGAGCGGUGGAAUGCGUAGAUAUCAAGAGGAACGCCCGUGGAGAAGUCGGCACACUGGGCCUAUCCUGACACUGAGACACGAAAGCGUGGGUAGCGAACGGGAUUAGAUACCCCGGUAGUCCACGCCGUAAACGAUGUCUACUAGAUUUCGCGAAUUCUGACAUUGGCGGAAUCGAAGCAAAAGUGAUAAGUAGACCGCCUGGGGAGUACGGUCGCAAGGCUAAAACUCAAAGGAAUUGACGGGGGCUCACGCAAGCGGUGGAGCAUGUGGAUUAAUUCGAAGCAACGCGCAGAACCUUACCUGGGUUUGACAUGCUUGGAUGCCCAUCUGGAAACGGAGUAGGCUGCCCUUCGGGGUGAAACUUGCACAGGUGCUGCAUGGCUGUCGUCAGCUCGUGUCGUGAGAUGUCGGGUUAAGUCCUUUAACGAGCGAAACCCUUACCGUUAGUUGCCAGCGAGUAAUGUCGGGGACUCUAGCGGGACUGCCGGUGUUAAACCGGAGGAAGGCGGGGAUGACGUCAAGUCCUCAUGGCCUUUAUGCCCAGGGCCUCACACGUGCUACAAUGGUGGCCACAGAGCGACGCAAUACCGCGAGGUGGAGCAAAUCGCACAAAGGUCAUCUCAGUCCGGAUUGCAGGCUGGCAAUUCGCCUGCAUGAAGUUGGAAUCGCUAGUAAUCGCGUAUCAGCUAUGACGCGGUGAAUGUGUUCCUGAGCCUUGUACACACCGCCCGUCAAGUGAUGGAAGCUGGAAGUACCCGAAGUCGGGUUGCUAACCUUUUAUUAGGAGGCGCCUGCCUACGGUAAGUUCGGUAACUGGCACUAAGUCGUAACAAGGUA
rnacentral:rRNA from 1 species